GGCGAACGCUGGCGGCGUGCCUAACACAUGCAAGUCGAGCGGGAGCCAUCUGGUUGCAACACCGGGGAAGAUCUAGCGGCGAACGGGUGAGUAACACGUGAGAGACCUGCCCCGAACUUCGGGAUAACACGGGCAAAUCCGUGCUAAUACGGAAUACCCUCUACCGGUCGCAUGGUCGGAAGCGGAAAGUUUCAUCGGUUCGGGAGGGUCUCGUGGCCUAUCAGCUAGUUGGCGGGGUAACGGCCCACCAAGGCAUCGACGGGUAGCUGGUCGGAGCGGACGAUCAGCCACACUGGGACUGAGACACGCCCCAGACUCCUACGGGAGGCAGCAGUGGGGAAUCUUGCGCAAUGGGCGAAAGCCUGCCGCAGCAACGCCGCGUGCGGGAUGAAGGCCUUCGGGUUGUAAACCGCUUUCAGCAGGGAAGAAAAUGACGGUACCUGCAGAAGAAGCCCCGGCCAACUACGUGCCAGCAGCCGCCGUAA
rnacentral:rRNA from 1 species